ACGGGUGUAGCUCAGCUGGUAGAGCGACGGUCUCCAAAACCGUAGGUCGUGGGUUCGAACCCUUCCGCCCGUG
rnacentral:tRNA from 2 species